UACGAAGGGGGCUAGCGUUGUUCGGAAUCACUGGGCGUAAAGCGCACGUAGGCGGAUUUUUAAGUCAGGGGUGAAAUCCCGAGGCUCAACCUCGGAACUGCCUUUGAUACUGGGCACCUUGAGUAUGGGAGAGGUGAGUGGAAUUCCUGGUGUAGCGGUGAAAUGCGCAGAUAUCAGGAAGAACACCCGUGGCUAAGGCGGCUCUCUAGUACGGUACUGACGCUGAGACGCGAAAGCGUGGGGAGCGAACAGG
rnacentral:rRNA from 1 species